UACGGGGAGCAGCAGGCGCGAAAACUUCGCACCGUGCGAAAGCACGACGGGGGAAUCCCAAGUGCUGGCUCGUAAGAGUCAGCUGUUUCCCUGUCUAAAAAACAGAGAGAGUAAGGGCUGGGUAAGACGGGUGCCAGCAGCGCGGUAA
rnacentral:rRNA from 1 species